AAGAGAUCCGUCGUCUGAAACUCAAGAGUUGCUUUUUCUGAGAUCAGCAUCUAACCCUAGCUCGACAAAUCCGUCAUGUCGUCCAAGCAAGGAGGAAAGGCGAAACCUUUGAAGCAGCCAAAAGCUGAUAAGAAGGAAUACGAUGAGCACGAUAUGGCCAACCUUCAGAAGAAGAAAGACGAGGAAAAGGCACUUAAAGAAUUAAGAGCCAAGGCAUCGCAGAAGGGAUCUUUUGGAGGCUCCGGUCUUAAGAAGAGUGGCAAGAAAUGAUCCGUUAUUAUCCAUGAAGCCUGUUUUUGACAGUGCUUAUUUUAUCAAGUUAUAACAUAUAAACUCGUGUGUUGUGUAACUUGUCUGUAGGAGAGUGACUUUGCGUCUCUCCCAUAACAUAUGUUUGCUUUCGACACUUAUUUCAUUUUAUAAAGAAAAAAAAAGAGAAAAGAAAGAUGGUUUUCUAUUUAAAAA